rnacentral:rRNA from 1 species
AACGAACGCUGGCGGCAUGCCUAACACAUGCAAGUCGAACGAGACCUUCGGGUCUAGUGGCGCACAGGUGCGUAGCGCGUGGGAACCUGCCCUUAGGCUCGGAAUACCUCCCCGACAGGGGUGCUAAUACCGGGUAAUGUCUUCGGACCAAAGAUUUAUCGCCUUUGGGUGGGCCGGCGUUGGAUUAGCUUGUUGGUAGGGUAAAAGCCUACCACGGCGACGAUCCAUAGCUGGUCUGAGAGGAUGAGCAGCGACACUGGGACUGAGACACGGUCCAGACUCUUACGGGAGGCAGCAGUGGGUGAUCUUGGACUACGGGCGGAGGCAUGAUCCAGCAAUGCCGGGUGAGUGAUGAAGGCCUGAGAGUUGUAAAGCUCGUUUAUCCGGGAUGAUAAUGACAGUACCGGGAGAAUAAGCUCCGGCUAACUUCGUG